AUUGAACGCUGGCGGCAUGCUUUACACAUGCAAGUCGAACGGUAACAGGGUGCUUGCACCGCUGACGAGUGGCGAACGGGUGAGUAAUGCAUCGGAAUGUACCGUGUAAUGGGGGAUAGCUCGGCGAAAGCCGGAUUAAUACCGCAUACGCCCUGAGGGGGAAAGUGGGGGACCGAAAGGCCUCACGUUAUACGAGCAGCCGAUGUCUGAUUAGCUAGUUGGUGAGGUAAAGGCUCACCAAGGCGUCGAUCAGUAGCGGGUCUGAGAGGAUGAUCCGCCACACUGGGACUGAGACACGGCCCAGACUCCUACGGGAGGCAGCAGUGGGGAAUGUUGGACAAUGGGCGCAAGCCUGAUCCAGCCAUGCCGCGUGUCUGAAGAAGGCCUUCGGGUUGUAAAGGACUUUUGUCCGGGAGCAAAUCCUAGUGGUUAAUAACCGCUGGGUCUGAGAGUACCGGAAGAAUAAGCACCGGCUAACUACGUG
rnacentral:rRNA from 1 species